rnacentral:rRNA from 1 species
UACGGAGGGGGCUAGCGUUGUUCGGAAUUACUGGGCGUAAAGCGUGCGCAGGCGGUGAUGUAAGACAGGUGUGAAAUUCCCGGGCUUAACCUGGGAACUGCAUUUGUGACUGCAUCGCUGGAGUGCGGCAGAGGGGGAUGGAAUUCCGCGUGUAGCAGUGAAAUGCGUAGAUAUGCGGAGGAACACCGAUGGCGAAGGCAAUCCCCUGGGCCUGCACUGACGCUCAUGCACGAAAGCGUGGGGAGCAAACAGG